rnacentral:rRNA from 1 species
UACGAAGGGGCUAGCGUUGUUCGGAAUUACUGGGCGUAAAGGGCGCGCAGGCGGUCUUCCAAGUCGGAUGUGAAAGCCCCGGGCUCAACCUGGGAACUGCAUUCGAGACUGGAGGACUUGAGUUCGGGAGAGGAGAGCGGAAUUCCCAGUGUAGAGGUGAAAUGCGUAGAGAUCGGGAGGAACGACCCGUGGCGCAAGGCGGCCAAGUCUGGACCAGCACGUGACGCUGAGGCACGAAAGCGUGGGGAGCAAACAGG